CACUCGGCAUAAAAAAAGUAGGACUUUAGUCCAUGAAGUGUGGCCUAGGACCGGGCCCCUUUUUUCUAUUCUUUCUUCACUCAUUUUUGGCCAUGCCCGACCGAUGGGAACAAGGGCCAGAUUGCCCCGGCCACAGCCCUCUGCACCCCUAGGCUAGGGUGUGGCCCGUUGCCACCCUUAGGCCCGCUUCAAGGCCGCAACAAUUCAACUUCUCGCUCAAGCUUAUUUAUGCACGUAGAUACCAUGUAAAAGGCCCCGCAUGAUCUUUGGAGAUCCAUUAAUGGCGAAACCGGUUGAAGUGAGAGAACUCAAAUCCAGAAACCAUGGAUCGGCUGCCUUCUUUCUCUUCCUCGAUUACCUCUUCCUCUUUAUCUUCUUCUCUUUCCUUUUCUUUUUCCUUCUCAAAAUGUUCGGUUUCUGAAUCCUCUUCGCCUUUCUUCUCUCUCUCUUCAAAUCCAACCUUGAAUACAGAUUGAUAGCAGCAGGUCAAGGACCGGUGGCACAAGGACCGCGACUAGUGGUUGAAGCCAUGUUAUUUUGUUGAAGUUUUUGUCUAUUGUAUGUUUCAGAUUGGCAGCUUGGCCAUAGUUUUUUUUUAAUUCUAGAAGUUAUGUAAUGAAUUGGGCCUUUGAUGUCCGGAACUCUUUUGUAACGCUUUAGAAAAUUUAUGUACAAUGUAUUUGCAAUUUGAGGACUAGGUUGUCCAAUUUUUGAUGUA